rnacentral:rRNA from 1 species
GACGAACGCUGGCGGCGUGCUUAACACAUGCAAGUCGAACGCAGUGGCGAACGGGUGAGUAACGCGUAAUCAACCUGCCCUUCAGAGGGGGAUAACAGUUGGAAACGACUGCUAAUACCGCAUACUGAAGGAGGGGCUUGCGUCUGAUUAGCUAGUUGGAGGGGUAACGGCCCACCAAGGCGAUGAUCAGUAGCCGGUCUGAGGGGAGGAACGGCCACAAUGGGACGGAGAACCGGCCCAAACUCCUACGGGAGGCAGCAGGGGGGAAUUUUACGGAAUGGAAGAAAGUCUGACGGGGCAACGCCGCGUGAGUGAUGAAGGCCUUCGGGAUGUAAAGCUCUGUUAAUCGGGACGCGGUACCGGAAUAGAAAGCCACGGCUAACUACGUGCCAGCAGCCGCGGUAAUAC